rnacentral:rRNA from 1 species
UGCGUAGGCGGACUAGUAAGUCAGUGGUGAAAUCUUUCGGCUUAACCGAGAAACUGCCAUUGAAACUGUCAGUCUUGAGUCAGGUUGAGGUAGGCGGAAUGUGUAAUGUAGCGGUGAAAUGCUUAGAUAUUACACAGAACACCAAUUGCGUAGGCAGCUUACUGGACCUGCACUGACGCUGAGGCACGAAAGCGUGGGGAGCGAACAGGAUUAGAUACCCUGGUAGUCC